UAAUAAAUUAUUUUUUUACUGGCAACUAAAAUGGACUGCAAACGGUCACGGUGGCGCCACUUUCGUCUAACGGCUUUUUUAAAAUAGCGCGCACCGUGACAGUUGGCCAUUCCAUUUUCGUUCGUCGAGCACACAAGAUCUCUCCUGAUUACUGUACUUUGUUAUACUGGUGAAAUAUAUAGUGCUGCUAGUUUAAAGUGUGAUCAUUGUAAAAUAACCGAAAUAACACCAAAAAAAUGGAUAAGCCAACUACGAUUUACGAUCCCGCGUGCCCAACCGAAUCAGCGCGUCGGUCCUACACUCGGGAUAGGCGCCAAUCGUCGCAGGGGCCGCGCAGUCACGUUGUCAAUACGUCGCGCCACAGCGAGUCGCAUAGUCGUGACAACAAUGGGCCGCGCCGUUCCCGGACACGCAGUCGUGUGGACAGCGCACCGCACCACCACAGAUCGCGCAGUCGCCUGGACAGCGCACCGCGUCACCACAGGUCGCGCAGUCGCCUGGAUAGCGCGCCGCGCCACCACAGGUCGCGCAGUCGCUUGAGCAGCGCGCCGAGUCACCACAGAUCGCGCAGUCGUAAUGUCAGCGCGCCGCGCCACCACAGGUCACGCAGCCGCGUUGACAGCACGCCGCACCACCACAGAUCGAGCAGUCGCAUUGACGACGCACCGCAUAGGCACCGGUCACGCAGCUAUAGCAACGGCCGAGCGAAGUCUAAAAUGCGAAUCAAGAAUCCAGUUCGUGCAGAAGGCGCAUAUAACGUUAAAAUAACCAUUGUUGUAGAACAUGUAAAAGCAGAUAAUGAUAUAGAUUUCCAGAGAAGGUAAUUAUGAGUUGAUUUUGUAUUUUGAUGUUAAGUUUAAAAUUGUUACAUUUAUAUUUAAUAAGCUUGUAUUGUUUUCAUGCGUACGAGGACGUACUUAUUUAAGGAUGGCCGACUGUGAACGAUUUUUGUAAUUAAAUCCAUUAGGUAAUAUAUUUUUAAUAUAAGUCGUAAAAUAAUAAAUUAUUUUUUUACUGGCAACUAAAAUGGACUGCAAACGGUCACGGUGGCGCCACUUUCGUCUAACGGCUUUUUUAAAAUAGCGCGCACCGUGACAGUUGGCCAUUCCAUUUUCGUUCGUCGAGCACACAAGAUCUCUCCUGAUUACUGUACUUUGUUAUACUGGUGAAAUAUAUAGUGCUGCUAGUUUAAAGUGUGAUCAUUGUAAAAUAACCGAAAUAACACCAAAGUGAGUAUCCUAACCUAAUUGUUUUAUUUGCUUU